UACGGAGGGUGCAAGCGUUAUCCGGAUUCACUGGGCUUAAAGGGUGCGUAGGUGGGCCUGUAAGUCAGUGGUGAAAUCUCCGAGCUUAACUUGGAAACUGCCAUUGAUACUAUAGAUCUUGAAUACCGUGGAGGUCAGCGGAAUAUGUCAUGUAGCGGUGAAAUGCUUAGAUAUGACAUAGAACACCAAUUGCGAAGGCAGCUGGCUACACGAAUAUUGACACUGAUGCACGAAAGCGUGGGGAUCAAACAGG
rnacentral:rRNA from 1 species